AUUGAACGCUGGCGGAAUGCUUUACACAUGCAAGUCGAGCGGCAGCGCGGGGCAACCUGGCGGCGAGCGGCGAACGGGUGAGUAAUGCAUCGGAACAUGUCCAUGUCGUGGGGGAUAGCCCGGCGAAAGCCGGAUUAAUACCGCAUACGCUCGGGAGAGGAACGCCAGGGACCGCAAGGCCUGGCGCGAUUGGGUUGGCCGAUGUCCGAUUAGCUAGUUGGUGAGGUAAAGGCUUACCAAGGCGAUGAUCGGUAGCUGGUCUGAGAGGAUGAUCAGCCACACUGGGACUGAGACACGGCCCAAACUCCUACGGGAGGCAGCAGUGGGGAAUUUUGGACAAUGGGGGCAACCCUGAUCCAGCCAUUCCGCGUGAGUGAAGAAGGCCUUCGGGUUGUAAAGCUCUUUUGUCCGGAGCGAAACGGGCGCGGCUAAUACCUGCGUCCACUGACGGUACCGGAAGAAUAAGCACCGGCUAACUACGUGCCAGCCGCCGCCGUAAUAC
rnacentral:rRNA from 1 species